AGUCGAACGGCAGCACGGGGGCAACCCUGGUGGCGAGUGGCGAACGGGUGAGUAAUACAUCGGAACGUGUCCUGUAGUGGGGGAUAGCCCGGCGAAAGCCGGAUUAAUACCGCAUACGAUCUACGGAAGAAAGCGGGGGAUCGCAAGACCUCGCGCUAUAGGGGCGGCCGAUGGCAGAUUAGCUAGUUGGUGGGGUAAAGGCCUACCAAGGCGACGAUCUGUAGCUGGUCUGAGAGGACGACCAGCCACACUGGGACUGAGACACGGCCCAGACUCCUACGGGAGGCAGCAGUGGGGAAUUUUGGACAAUGGGGGAAACCCUGAUCCAGCAAUGCCGCGUGUGUGAAGAAGGCCUUCGGGUUGUAAAGCACUUUUGUCCGGAAAGAAAACCUUUGCACUAAUACUGUGAGGGGAUGACGGUACCGGAAGAAUAAGCACCGGCUAACUACGUGCCAGCAGCCGCGGUAAUACGUAGGGUGCGAGCGUUAAUCGGAAUUACUGGGCGUAAAGCGUGCGCAGGCGGUUCGUUAAGACAGAUGUGAAAUCCCCGGGCUUAACCUGGGAACUGCAUUUGUGACUGGCGAGCUAGAGUAUGGCAGAGGGGGGUAGAAUUCCACGUGUAGCAGUGAAAUGCGUAGAGAUGUGGAGGAAUACCGAUGG
rnacentral:rRNA from 1 species